UUAAGUUCAGCGGGUAGUCCUACCUGAUUUGAGAUCAAACAUUCAAAAGAGCCAUCUCCACUGAGGAGAGACAUUUGUGAGCCCCAGUGAACCUUCAUCACUGAAGGUUAUCUGAUGGAAAUCCACAAGCAUAGAUAUUUAUCACACCUGCGACGCCACCAAACACUGGCAAGCUGAUUCAUUUUAGAGGAGCUGACUAU
rnacentral:misc_RNA from 1 species